GUCUACAGCCAUGCCACCCUGAAAAUGCCCAAUCUCGUCUGACUUCGGAAGCUAAGCAGGGUCAGGCUUGGUUAGUACUUGGAUGGGAGACCACCUGGGAAUACCAGGUGCUGUAGGCG
rnacentral:rRNA from 1 species